AUUUACAAUGGGGUUGAUACUGCUUGCAAUAGUCUCCAUUAUAUUAGUUUCCUAACUUGUCUGGUUUUUGUCUCAAAUAGUUUGGUGCCAUGACCCAGUAUCUGAACUUAUCUUCAGAUUCUCAUUUACCCUAGCCAGGUCAUAAGGCCAUUUGGAGCCUUUUGUACUCCAUCUCUGGCUGGAAGCACAGAGAUCUAAAGUUUCUUUGUAGUUUCCAUCAAGACACAGUUUGCACUGACCAUCACCAUGGCCUCCAGUUUUCAACUGGGCACCCAGAACCUAGUAUGUCUCACUGCUUGCUGCUUGUCAAGUCCACAGUGAAUGCAUACCUAAGAGGACCAAGAAAGUCAACACCUUUUUACCUUCCACCAAGGAGAAUAACAUCCCUGGGCAGUCAUGCCUCAGGGGUACACUGAAGCCGUCUACUAUUUUUCUCAGG